rnacentral:rRNA from 1 species
GGGCGUAAAGGGCUCCGCAGGCGGUUUCUUAAGUCUGAUGUGAAAGCCCCCGGCUCAACCGGGGAGGGUCAUUGGAAACUGGGGAACUUGAGUGCAGAAGAGGAGAGUGGAAUUCCACGUGUAGCGGUGAAAUGCGUAGAGAUGUGGAGGAACACCAGUGGCGAAGGCGACUCUCUGGUCUGUAACUGACGCUGAGGAGCGAAAGCGUGGGGAGCGAACAGGAUUAGAUACCCUGGUAGUCCACGCCGUAAACGAUGAGUGCUAAGUGUUAGGGGGUUUCCGCCCCUUAGUGCUGCAGCUAACGCAUUAAGCACUCCGCCUGGGGAGUACGGUCGCAAGACUGAAACUCAAAGGAAUUGACGGGGGCCCGCACAAGCGGUGGAGCAUGUGGUUUAAUUCGAAGCAACGCGAAGAACCUUACCAGGUCUUGACAUCCUCUGACAAUCCUAGAGAUAGGACGUCCCCUUCGGGGGCAGAGUGACAGGUGGUGCAUGGUUGUCGUCAGCUCGUGUCGUGAGAUGUUGGGUUAAGUCCCGCAACGAGCGCAACCCUUGAUCUUAGUUGCCAGCAUUCAGUUGGGCACUCUAAGGUGACUGCCGGUGACAAACCGGAGGAAGGUGGGGAUGACGUCAAAUCAUCAUGCCCCUUAUGACCUGGGCUACACACGUGCUACAAUGGACAGAACAAAGG